rnacentral:rRNA from 1 species
UACGUAGGGUGCGAGCGUUAAUCGGAAUUACUGGGCGUAAAGCGUGCGCAGGCGGUUUGUUAAGACAGAUGUGAAAUCCCCGGGCUUAACCUGGGAACUGCAUUUGUGACUGGCAAGCUAGAGUAUGGCAGAGGGGGGUAGAAUUCCACGUGUAGCAGUGAAAUGCGUAGAGAUUGGAAAGAACACCGAUGGCGAAGGCACUUUACUGGGCUAUUACUAACACUCAGAGACGAAAGCUAGGGUAGCAAAUGGG